CACAACUCAUCUAGAACAAUCCUCCGAAUAGCUUUCUUUCACCAUUACUUUGUUCAAUCAUCUGCGGAUCUGCCAUUGGCCAUUGCUGGCGAGUUCGAGCAGCAAUCUUCUAGCAGUACUCCAUUUGUAUUGACCUUUCUCUCUAACCUUUCCUUAUCCUUAGUAUCCUCUUUGAGAGAUUUCUUGUUGCCUUUGAUUUGCUUGGUCCUAUCCUCUUCUAAAUUUUGCUUUGGCACAACAGUAUCCCAAUGGUUAGCAUCUUCUUACCCAUAGUUGAAACCAGAGCUUCUAGAGAAGAAACUACUCUUCUCUCAAAGCUGUGGUUACAAGAUUACAAGAGAAGAAAGGAGGAAUGCAUCUGUAGGUUCAUGUGACAAAAGUAUGAUGGAAGUCUGGUGCUUUCCCUGUGGAGAUGGAUGAAAUGAUUCUCCUUUUGUGGGUGAAUUGCUGCGACUAACAAGAGAAGGUACACAACAAUGAUGUUGAGAUUGUAGCGGUAGCAGAAGGUUUUGGUCUUUGGUCUUGAGGAUGAAGUAUUCACAUUUGAGAUGAGAAAUUAUCACCAGCUAUAUUACUAUUUCUGUUGGAAGUUCAUUUUCCGAGAUAGAAUAUAUAUAGGUGAAUUGUGUUAGAUGCGGCAUGAAGAGCUUGUAACAUAGAACAUGCUUGCCAAUUAUAGUAUUAACAUAUAAUUUCUUCAGGUGCCAAUAGUUUUAUUGCAGACUACAAAAAAAAAAAAAAACCAAACUACAUUACAGGGAACACAUCUUAUAUUGUCAUUAUGUAGAUUGUAUAUAUGUAGAAAGAUUACUCUCAUGUCAUUUUGCGAGCACACAACACCCACUGAAUCGAUAUUUUAUUAAAUUUUGUACAACUUGGAUAACUUUUUUCCUAAAUGUAUGUGCUAUAUAGUAUGAAGCAAUUAGUAUGCAAUGU